AGCCCGAGGGAACCGACGCCCCCGGGCCGGCUGUCUGCUCCCCCACGGCACGGGCCCCACCCCCAAUCCUUCCGGCGCCCCAGCGCCCACCCACCCGGGCGCGGGAGUGGGAGGGUGCCGCGUGGGCAGCCGGAGCAACAGGCGUGGGAGCAGCGCUCCUCGCACUUCCUGGCUCCAGAAGGCUCGGUCGCGUCCCUCUUACCUUCCGCGAAGCCAGCCCGGGCCCCGCGCCCGGCGCCCCGCGCGCGCGAGGAAGCUGCGGCCGGGAGCCGGGGCCGCGGAGGCGCCGAGCGCCCAGCAGCGCGGGGAAGCGCCCAGCAGCCGCCGCUCGCGCGGCUCCUCCUCGCCAGCGCAGUCUCGCUCGCUGCCUCCCUCGCUCGGUCGGUUCGUGCGUCCGUCCGUCCGUGGGGCCCUCCCUCCCCCGCCGCCACUGCCGCCGCCACUGCCGCCGCCACUGCCGCCGCCGCCGCUGCCGCAGCCUCCGCCGCUCCAGCCCCGGCUCGGCAGCGCGUCCCCUCCCCGCCUCGCCGCUCCGCUCGCGGGCUCGCGGGCUCCCUCGCUCUCUCCCUUCCCCCGCCGCUGCCGGCGCCGCGCCGAGCGGAGCCCGGCCGGCCACGGGCUGCCUCUCCCGAGGUCCCUUUCCCGAGGGGGGGAGGUGGUGGGGGCGCGGCGCAGGCGGGGCGGGGAGGAGAGGAGAGUCCGGGGGAGGCGGCAAGGCUGCGCCCUCGGCUCCCCUCCGAUCCCCGCGGGCCCAGCGGCCCCAGGCCGGGCCGGAGAGCGCCGAGCCGCCAGGCAGUGGAGGAAGAGAGGAGGAGGACCCGGAGUCUCGCCGCGGGAGGGUGCCCAGGGCGAGGGCGUGCGAGGGGGAGUGACUCCGCGCGCGAGGGGCAGCAGCACCUGCUUGAGACCAAGCCCGGCGACCUGGCAAGGUGGGGCCCCCUACCGCGCAAUCUUUGCGGCUGGCCCCCGGCUCUCAGCUCCGAGUGCAGAGGCUGAAGAGGUACCCGGGGGACACACUGCCUCUAACCCCACCUAUGAGCCGCUCUCCUCUCGGAGGACGAAGGCACCAUCAGAAGGUCGAGAUUCGCCCUCCUCUCCCGCCACGUCUACCCACUACCUAGACCGGGAGUCUGGACUUGGGAGCGUGAACUCUCACCCGAGCCGGUCCCCUUACAACUGGAGCCCGCCCAGCCCCUCAGUCCCUCCCUGAAGCCCAUGGGUCCCCACUGCUCCGUGCCUCGUCGACCCAGGAUGGGGAGUGGGAAGGUCAGCAUGUGCCCACAGGGCCAGGUGUCCGGCCCAGAUUCCCACCCUCAGGGCGGCGGCGCGCAAAGGGCGCAGUCCCCGCCGCUGGGCGGACCCGCGGCUCCGGCUUUCCCGGUGUCUCCAGCCUCGGUGCCCGGAAUCCUGGAUCUCGGCCUGGCGCUCCGGAAGCGAGGCAGCUCCGUGCCCCAGCAGGGACGGGGAACGCUUGGCUUGAGAGAUCACAUUUCUGGGUGUGGAGAGAAUGUCAAUCACAUAUCCAGAAUAUCACCUCCUUGGGCACAGCCAGGGCAUGGUCCAUUGAAAAUGUUCCUGAUUGCUGGAAGCUGACGGCUCACCAUAAAAGCCAAAAUGGGGACCUGUCAAAAAUGUUUUAGCCAAACUAUGGCUUGGCUCAGGAAGAUGCCAAGACCAAAGGCUGCUGAACUUUAAGUAUAAACUUGCAUGAAAAGCACAUUGCAGGUCUGAGACAGUGGAGGCUUAGUGGUGAGAACAUGAGCUCUGGAUAGACCUGGCUUCAAGUCUUGGCUCUGUCAUUCACCAGCUGUGUGAAUUUGGGCAAACCACUUUUCUUCUCUGAUGCUCAGUUCCCUCACCUAGCAAAAUGGGUUAUAAUGAUGGCAUCAACUCAUAAGGUUCAUGAGGACUGAGCUAGAUAAUGCAAACAACAUGUUUCAUAUACAAUAAUAAAUAAAAAUGUUGGCUGUUAUAAUAUUGUCACUGAGUCUACAUGUAUCUGAAACUAGCUCUUUUAAAUCCUGGGUACAGCUUUACAAGCAGUAUUGUGUAGUUUAGACAGAUCACCUGAGUUCUUUCUAUGUAAUUAUUGUUUCUACUGAACCUUGGUAAAUGUGUGAAAUCACAGAAGUUUGUCCCUAGACACUCCCCUCACCCCACUGGCUCCUCUCUCCAUUCUGUGCAACCCCAUUUCUGCAGCCUUGAGCUUCAGCCCAUUUCUCUCCAUUUCCUCCUCAUUAGCAAGAACUGAUAAAAUUAUUUGAACUGAUAUGUAAGUGACCAUCUCAUCCAGAGAUAUAGUAUUCACAUUUUAGUAGGUCAGAGCCUUAAGCCAAGGCAGUGAAAUAGAGUGGAUGGUACUUCAAGCAUUCAUCAAAGUAAUGGGGAAAGUUUGGGGUCCCAGGAGACUCUUCCCAAUUCCACAGAGUCCUGCCCAUUCAUAAAACUGGUACUAUUGAUGCAUUAUAAGCAACAAGGUGGUCCGUGUUUGAAUUCUGCAGCUGGAAAAUCAAGUCUCCAGCUUUUGCAAAAGUGUUGUAAUAGGGAAACUUGGACACUAAUUUUAUAUACCAACCUCUUCUUGGUAAAGAGACAUAGCUCAUGAGCACCAAGGCCUUUCCAGCAUUGCACAUCUAUGAUACUUAUACUCAAGUGCAUUUUUUUCUUCAGAGCUCAAGGCUAGAGUUGGGUGUUUUUGCCUCACUGGGUUUGUAGGAGACUCAGCUACAAAGUCAUUAAUUGCUUUGGUGAAUCAACAAGUAAAGAAAGACAGUCCAGCUAUUGUCCCCACACUGCAAAAUCAUAAGAGGCUUCUGGACUUCUCCACAAAAUCCUCAUUAAAGAUGAGUCCUCAUGGCUCUUACAGAAUUCUUUAUUAUGUCCUUUGUGCUGAGACUGCAAGGUAAAGAAAGAAAAAAGGGAAAUAACUAAAUUUGUUAUCAUGGAAAAUUUCAAACAUACAAAAGAUGAAAGAAUUGUAUAAUAUACCCCCAUGAACUUGUCAUUUAGCUUUGAAAGUUACCAACUCAUGGCCAAUCAUUUUUCAUCUGUACCCUACUCACACACUCCCCCACCAUAAUUUUGAAACAAAUUCCAAAUAUAAUUUCAUCUGUAAAUAUUUCUGUGAUUGCACCUUUGUUAUGGCCAACAAAAUCCAUCUUUCUAGAAGAGAAGUCAUUCUUCCCUCCCUCCAUGAUGCUAAGAACAUUUGGCCAGUACCUGCAUCCAUGCCCAGGAGUGGUCUCUGGGUUAGGCAAGCUUGAGGGUUUACUGAAUGUUAUCCAAAGUUUGUCCUUUUCCUUGGGUAGAAAAAGGAACCCAUAAAAUGUCUGGUAGAGGUGCCACUGUGUGCAAGCUUUUUUUUUUUUUUUUUUUUUUUUUUGUCAGCAGGGAUGAUGCUCAAUAGCUGUGAUGAGGUCCAAGCUGAGAGAAAAGAGUCAUGAUCAUGAAUCCCAACUGGAUUCAUCAUUUUCCACAUACUUUACUUCAUUUAGCUUUCACCAAUUCUCAUGUUAGUUCCAUUUUACAGAUAAGAAAACUAAGACCUAAGCUCACCCAGCUAGUAGUUACUUGUGGCAGAGACAGACUAGAUGCCAAUCAAAUUCAGUUCCUCUUUUCUGUAGAUACAGUUAGAUUACUUUCCCAGGUUCUCUUGCAGUUAGGUUUGGUCAUCUGACUAAGUUCUAGCCAAAGUAAUAUAGGCCAGUCCCAUGAAAAACAUCUAGGGCAAUUUAGCAUGUUCUUUCUUUCUCCAUCCACUGGCUGAAUGGAAAAAAUUUCAAGGGCUUAGAAGGGGACAGAGCCACAAGAAGGAAGGAACUUGGGUCCCUGGGUGACUAUGUGAAGUAGAGGUCCCUCCCAACUUCCUUUGAACUGUGAAAUACGCAAAAUAAAUAAAUAAAUAAAUUUUUAUUAUGUGAAACUGCUGAAAUGUGGGUGAUGUAUGUUCAAGUAGUAAUGCCUACCCUGACCAAUACAGUGGCAUAGAUGGGAUUUAAACCCUCAAUCUGACUAUGCCAGUGUCCAAAGUCUUCCCCUAAACCACACUGCCUCCAGGCACAACAAAUAAGAAUUGCUUAUAAGAAUCACCUACAUGCUCAGCAUGUGAUAGGACUGUCUUCAAGGAGAUCUCGCAUCUUAGAUUUGUGCUAAUAUGAUAGCCACUAGCCACAUGGGGCUGUUUAAAUUAAAGUUUAAAUUAAUUAAAAUAAAGUUAAAAAUUCAGUUUCUUAAUUGCAGGCUCACAUUUCAAGUGUGCAGUAGUCUUAUGUAGCUAAUGGCUACCACAUUGGAAUGUGCAGACAGAGAACAUUUCCGUCAUCAUGGAAAGUGCUGUUGGAUAAUGCUGUCUUAGAUAGACCUUCAUUCACAACGCACCCCUCCCCAGACCCCUGCAGAAAAGCUGGAAGAAGACGGGGAUGCUGCUCAC
rnacentral:lncRNA from 10 species